rnacentral:rRNA from 10 species
UUAAGUUAUUAAGGGCGCACGGUGGAUGCCUUGGCACUAGAAGCCGAUGAAGGACGUUACUAACGACGAUAUGCUUUGGGGAGCUGUAAGUAAGCUUUGAUCCAGAGAUUUCCGAAUGGGGAAACCCAGCAUGAGUUAUGUCAUGUUAUCGAUAUGUGAAUACAUAGCAUAUCAGAAGGCACACCCGGAGAACUGAAACAUCUUAGUACCCGGAGGAAGAGAAAGAAAAUUCGAUUCCCUUAGUAGCGGCGAGCGAAACGGGAAGAGCCCAAACCAACAAGCUUGCUUGUUGGGGUUGUAGGACACUCUAUACGGAGUUACAAAGGACGACAUUAGACGAAUCAUCUGGAAAGAUGAAUCAAAGAAGGUAAUAAUCCUGUAGUCGAAAAUGUUGUCUCUCUUGAGUGGAUCCUGAGUACGACGGAGCACGUGAAAUUCCGUCGGAAUCUGGGAGGACCAUCUCCUAAGGCUAAAUACUCUCUAGUGACCGAUAGUGAACCAGUACCGUGAGGGAAAGGUGAAAAGCACCCCGGAAGGGGAGUGAAAUAGAACCUGAAACCGUGUGCUUACAAGUAGUCAGAGCCCGUUAAUGGGUGAUGGCGUGCCUUUUGUAGAAUGAACCGGCGAGUUACGAUUUGAUGCAAGGUUAAGCAGUAAAUGUGGAGCCGUAGCGAAAGCGAGUCUGAAUAGGGCGUUUAGUAUUUGGUCGUAGACCCGAAACCAGGUGAUCUACCCUUGGUCAGGUUGAAGUUCAGGUAACACUGAAUGGAGGACCGAACCGACUUACGUUGAAAAGUGAGCGGAUGAACUGAGGGUAGCGGAGAAAUUCCAAUCGAACCUGGAGAUAGCUGGUUCUCUCCGAAAUAGCUUUAGGGAUAGCCUCAAGUGAUGAUUAUUGGAGGUAGAGCACUGUUUGGACGAGGGGCCCCUCUCGGGUUACCGAAUUCAGACAAACUCCGAAUGCCAAUUAAUUUAACUUGGGAGUCAGAACAUGGGUGAUAAGGUCCGUGUUCGAAAGGGAAACAGCCCAGACCACCAGCUAAGGUCCCAAAAUAUAUGUUAAGUGGAAAAGGAUGUGGCGUUGCCCAGACAACUAGGAUGUUGGCUUAGAAGCAGCCAUCAUUUAAAGAGUGCGUAAUAGCUCACUAGUCGAGUGACACUGCGCCGAAAAUGUACCGGGGCUAAACAUAUUACCGAAGCUGUGGAUUGUCCUUUGGACAAUGGUAGGAGAGCGUUCUAAGGGCGUUGAAGCAUGAUCGUAAGGACAUGUGGAGCGCUUAGAAGUGAGAAUGCCGGUGUGAGUAGCGAAAGACGGGUGAGAAUCCCGUCCACCGAUUGACUAAGGUUUCCAGAGGAAGGCUCGUCCGCUCUGGGUUAGUCGGGUCCUAAGCUGAGGCCGACAGGCGUAGGCGAUGGAUAACAGGUUGAUAUUCCUGUACCACCUAUAAUCGUUUUAAUCGAUGGGGGGACGCAGUAGGAUAGGCGAAGCGUGCGAUUGGAUUGCACGUCUAAGCAGUAAGGCUGAGUAUUAGGCAAAUCCGGUACUCGUUAAGGCUGAGCUGUGAUGGGGAGAAGACAUUGAGUCUUCGAGUCGUUGAUUUCACACUGCCGAGAAAAGCCUCUAGAUAGAAAAUAGGUGCCCGUACCGCAAACCGACACAGGUAGUCAAGAUGAGAAUUCUAAGGUGAGCGAGCGAACUCUCGUUAAGGAACUCGGCAAAAUGACCCCGUAACUUCGGGAGAAGGGGUGCUCUUUAGGGUUAACGCCCAGAAGAGCCGCAGUGAAUAGGCCCAAGCGACUGUUUAUCAAAAACACAGGUCUCUGCUAAACCGUAAGGUGAUGUAUAGGGGCUGACGCCUGCCCGGUGCUGGAAGGUUAAGAGGAGUGGUUAGCUUCUGCGAAGCUACGAAUCGAAGCCCCAGUAAACGGCGGCCGUAACUAUAACGGUCCUAAGGUAGCGAAAUUCCUUGUCGGGUAAGUUCCGACCCGCACGAAAGGCGUAACGAUUUGGGCACUGUCUCAACGAGAGACUCGGUGAAAUCAUAGUACCUGUGAAGAUGCAGGUUACCCGCGACAGGACGGAAAGACCCCGUGGAGCUUUACUGUAGCCUGAUAUUGAAAUUCGGCACAGCUUGUACAGGAUAGGUAGGAGCCUUUGAAACGUGAGCGCUAGCUUACGUGGAGGCGCUGGUGGGAUACUACCCUAGCUGUGUUGGCUUUCUAACCCGCACCACUUAUCGUGGUGGGAGACAGUGUCAAGCGGGCAGUUUGACUGGGGCGGUCGCCUCCUAAAAGGUAACGGAGGCGCUCAAAGGUUCCCUCAGAAUGGUUGGAAAUCAUUCAUAGAGUGUAAAGGCAUAAGGGAGCUUGACUGCGAGACCUACAAGUCGAGCAGGGUCGAAAGACGGACUUAGUGAUCCGGUGGUUCCGCAUGGAAGGGCCAUCGCUCAACGGAUAAAAGCUACCCCGGGGAUAACAGGCUUAUCUCCCCCAAGAGUUCACAUCGACGGGGAGGUUUGGCACCUCGAUGUCGGCUCAUCGCAUCCUGGGGCUGUAGUCGGUCCCAAGGGUUGGGCUGUUCGCCCAUUAAAGCGGUACGCGAGCUGGGUUCAGAACGUCGUGAGACAGUUCGGUCCCUAUCCGUCGUGGGCGUAGGAAAUUUGAGAGGAGCUGUCCUUAGUACGAGAGGACCGGGAUGGACAUACCUCUGGUGUACCAGUUGUCGUGCCAACGGCAUAGCUGGGUAGCUAUGUGUGGACGGGAUAAGUGCUGAAAGCAUCUAAGCAUGAAGCCCCCCUCAAGAUGAGAUUUCCCAACUUCGGUUAUAAGAUCCCUCAAAGAUGAUGAGGUUAAUAGGUUCGAGGUGGAAGCAUGGUGACAUGUGGAGCUGACGAAUACUAAUCGAUCGAAGACUUAAUCAA